rnacentral:misc_RNA from 1 species
CCUAGAGUUGUAGGCUUUGCCUGCUAUCUCUUACCCAUGUCUUUUGAGUACCUUACGUUUCCUCGGUGGGUUCGCCCACCGAUUGGACAAAUUUAAACCCCUUGCAGUUGAAAUCAGCGUCUGAAAAAACUUAAUAGUUA